rnacentral:rRNA from 1 species
UUAAUAAUUUAUAUAAAAUAUUUUGAUGAAUAUUUAUAUAAUAUUAACAUAAUUCAUAUUACUAUUUUUUUUUUUAGUAUAUGAAAUUUUACUUUGAGAAAAUUAGAGUGCUUAAAGCAGGCAUAUGCCUUGAAUACUCCAGCAUGGAAUAAUAUUAAAGAUUUUUAUCUUUUUUAUUGGUUCUAAGAUAAGAAUAAUGAUUAAUAGGGACAGUUGGGGGCAUUUGUAUUUAACAGUCAGAGGUGAAAUUCUUAGAUUUGUUAAAGACAAACUAAUGCGAAAGCAUUUGCCAAGGAUGUUUUCAUUAAUCAAGAACGAAAGUUAGGGGAUCGAAGACGAUCAGAUACCGUCGUAGUCUUAACCAUAAACUAUGCCAACUAG